AUGGAGAAGAAUAGCAUAUGUUCGCAAGGCAAACAAACCAAUAAGAUUCGCAUAUUAGCACUUCACGGAGGAAGUGCGGAACACAACUCUAGCAUUGAAAUGGAAUGGGUGAGAUCAUUUAGUGCUAUUUCGUGCAGUGAUAGUGGAAUGCCUCAACUGUCAAUCUUUAAAGUAUUACGUGUACUAGUUAUAGAGGAUUGUGUUUUUCUGGAACGCCGUAGUCUGAAGGAUCUUGGCAAGUUGGUCCAGCUGAGGUACCUAGGACUAGUGGGGACGUCGGUCAAGCUCCCGGAAGGAAUAGGGCAUGAUCUAAUAUUUCUUGAGAUAUUGGACGUCAGGGGAGGUGCCAUAAGUGAGUUUCCAUCAUCUAUUGGUGAGCUAAAGAAUUUGAGGUGA
rnacentral:rRNA from 1 species